UAAAUGAUGAUUUCAAUUGGUCCGUGUUGAUGAAUUUAGUUGAUUAUUCAUUCCAAUUGCUGACAACG